UACGAAGGGGGCUAGCGUUGCUCGGAAUGACUGGGCGUAAAGGGCGCGUAGGCGGCUCAUACAGUCAGGCGUGAAAUUCCUGGGCUCAACCUGGGGACUGCGCUUGAGACGUGUGGGCUUGAGUGGGGAAGAGGGUCGUGGAAUUCCCAGUGUAGAGGUGAAAUCGUAGAUAUUGGGAAGAACACCGGUGGCGAAGGCGGCGACCUGGUCCUUGACUGACGCUGAGGCGCGAAAGCGUGGGGAGCAAACAGG
rnacentral:rRNA from 1 species